CUGAGCUUAGCUGCAAGAACAGAACAGUGGCUUGUAACGUCCCUGUGCCUUUAUUCAGUUUAAUAGUCAAUGAGCCUAGAUACAAGGGAUCCCUUCUGAAGGGCAGGAGGAUAUUAUGGGCACUACUGAAUAUUUUUAGAGUGGGUGGGUUUUUUUGUUUUUUUCUUUUUUGGGUUGUUUUGUUUGUUUUGUUUUGUUUUGUUUUUUGGAAUGCGGACUUUUUGAUACAGGCUGAGCAUCCCAAAUCUGAAAUCUGCAAUGCUCCAAAAUCUGAAACUUUUUGAGCACCGACAUCACACUCAAAGGAAAUGCUCACUGGAGCAUUUUGGGUUUCAGAUCUUAGGACUGGGGAUGUUCAACCAAUAAGUAUAACGCAAAUAUUCCAAAAUUGGAAAAAAAUCAAAUUCUAAAACGCUUCCGGUUCCAAGCAUUUCAGAGAAGGAAUAUUCUGCUUGUACUAACUAUGCCACGAAGUUGCUGUGUUUAACGUGGCGGCCUACAGAGGAGGAGGCUGUACCUCAUGGUCCGGGGAGACGGUGCUCUCAAAAGUUCCAGGCAAGCUACCAACUUUCCCUGCCGGAAGGCGUGUGGUACACUGUGGCUCUGCCAUAUUCCAGUCAGGCAGCUGCUGUGACCCUGAACUGUCCCUGGUCCCUCUGCCCUGUUUCUUCCCUGAGAAUUGUGGGUUUUAAACUAGAUCCUGGCGUGUUACAGCCAGAAGUGACUUUAAGGCUCACUCAGCCCAAAGCCCAGGAGAUCACAUGACUUGCCCAAGGUCACGCUGAGGGUCGGUGACGAGGCUGGGACUGGACCCCCAGCCUCCUGGUUCCCAUUGCCCUGGGGGUCUUCGUGUCCUCAACACACAAGGCACCUUUUCAAAGGAACUCAUACGCACACCUCUGGAAAUGCAAGCAUCACCCUUUCCUAAGGGUCCCCACCUCUGCACUGGAGACAUCGUGCUUUCUAAGAAUGAGGCAGUUUUGUUUUAAGUACUGACUCUGGAGAGUGUGGGGGGUUUUUGUCCCCUCUCUGUAUCUGUUCCCCCCUAAAUCAGCCUGGCCAAGCUAAUAGGAAACCUCGGCUUAUAACGCCCUGUGCCCCUCCUGCCCCAUGGAGCUCCAGGACAGUUCACCCCAGAGAGAUGUGGGCUGUCUUCAGCUCCCAGGGCCUGGCUGUGCACCUCCUGCUGCAGAUGGUCUCAUCCCUAGCAGGGCUGCACCCAGGAGGAAGAGGGGGAGCUGUGCCCCAGGGUUCUCUCAUCCUGAACAGCUCUGUUUGGAUGGCGGAAGAGCCAUCGUGAGAGUGCCACAAUCUCUUCUGGCUGGUAUUUCUUAAACAUCUUCACAUCUGUCCAGUUCCCCGCUCCCCAGCCUGGAAACCUGGAAUCCUGCUGAGUGGUGUCUGGUCCCCACUUCUCCCCACGCCAGUCCGCAGCCACAGGACUCUUGCUAGCCAUGCUCCUCUCCUGCUAACGGCCCAUCCAUAGCAUCAGCCGCAAACCUGAAGGCUCCCCACACUCGGUGGGGUCUUUGCUCCUCCUUCCGCCUUGCACCCGGCUGCUCCGUCUCACAG
rnacentral:lncRNA from 10 species